rnacentral:rRNA from 1 species
UUAUCCGGAUUUAUUGGGUUUAAAGGGAGCGUAGGCGGGUGCUUAAGUCAGUUGUGAAAGUUUGCGGCUCAACCGUAAAAUUGCAGUUGAUACUGGGCGCCUUGAGUGCAGCAUAGGUAGGCGGAAUUCGUGGUGUAGCGGUGAAAUGCUUAGAUAUCACGAAGAACUCCGAUUGCGAAGGCAGCUUACUGGACUGUAACUGACGCUGAUGCUCGAAAGUGUGGGUAUCAAGCAGGAUUAGAUACCCUGGUAGUCCACACAGUAAACGAUGAAUACUCGCUGUUGGCGAUACACAGUCAGCGGCCAAGCGAAAGCAUUAAGUAUUCCACCUGGGGAGUACGCCGGCAACGGUGAAACUCAAAGGAAUUGACGGGGGCCCGCACAAGCGGAGGAACAUGUGGUUUAAUUC